GACGAACGCUGGCGGCGUGCCUAAUACAUGCAAGUUGAGCGCUGAAGGUUGGUACUUGUACCAACUGGAUGAGCAGCGAACGGGUGAGUAACGCGUGGGGAAUCUGCCUUUGAGCGGGGGACAACAUUUGGAAACGAAUGCUAAUACCGCAUAAAAACUUUAAACACAAGUUUUAAGUUUGAAAGAUGCAAUUGCAUCACUCAAAGAUGAUCCCGCGUUGUAUUAGCUAGUUGGUGAGGUAAAGGCUCACCAAGGCGAUGAUACAUAGCCGACCUGAGAGGGUGAUCGGCCACAUUGGGACUGGGACACGGCCCAAACUCCUACGGGAGGCAGCAGUAGGGAAUCUUCGGCCAUGGACGAAAGUCUGACCGAGCAACGCCGCGUGAGUGAAGAAGGUUUUCGGAUCGUAAAACUCUGUUGGUAGAGAAGAACGUUGGUGAGAGUGGAAAGCUCAUCAAGUGACGGUAACUACCCAGAAAGGGACGGCUAACUACGUG
rnacentral:rRNA from 1 species